GAAUUUUGGACAAUGGGCGAAAGCCUGAUCCAGCAAUGCCGCGUGCAGGAUGAGGGCCUUCGGGUUGUAAACUGCUUUUGUACGGAACGAAAAGCUUUGGGUUAAUACCCUGGCGUCAUGCCGGUCCCGUACGAAUAAGCCACGGCCAACUACGUGCCCGACGCCGCGGUAAUACGUAGGGGGCAAGCGGUAAUCGGAAUUACUGGGCGUAAAGCGUGCGCAGGCGGUUUUGUAAGACAGAGGUGAAAUCCCCGGGCUCAACCUGGGAACUGCCUUUGUGACUGCAAGGCUAGAGUACGGCAGAGGGGGGUGGAAUUCCGCGUGUAGCAGUGAAAUGCGUAGAUAUGCGGAGGAACACCGAUGGCGAAGGCAACCCCCUGGGCCUGUACUGACGCUCAUGCACGAAAGCGUGGGGAGCAAAC
rnacentral:rRNA from 1 species